UACGUAGGGGCCUAGCGUUGUCCGGAUUUAUUGGGCGUAAAGAGCUCGUAGGCGGUUUGGUGAGUCGGGUGUGAAAUCUCCACGCUCAACGUGGAGGGGCCACCCGAUACUGCCAUGACUAGAGUCCGGUAGGGGAGUGUGGAAUUCCCGGUGUAGCGGUGAAAUGCGCAGAUAUCGGGAGGAACACCAGUAGCGAAGGCGACACUCU
rnacentral:rRNA from 1 species